rnacentral:rRNA from 1 species
AAUGGCCGGCGGUGCCUUUACAUGCAAGUCGAGCGCGGGAAGCAGGCAGAUCCUCUCCGGAGGUGACGCCUGUGGAACGAGCGGCGGACGGGUGAGUAACACGUGGGCAACCUGCCUGUAAGAUUGGGAUAACCCCGGGAAACCGGGGCUAAUACCGGAUAAUACUUUUCGUUGCAUAACGAGAAGUUGAAAGGCGGCUUUUAGCUGUCACUUACAGAUGGGCCCGCGGCGCAUUAGCUAGUUGGUAAGGUAACGGCUUACCAAGGCGACGAUGCGUAGCCGACCUGAGAGGGUGAUCGGCCACACUGGGACUGAGACACGGCCCAGACUCCUACGGGAGGCAGCAGUAGGGAAUCUUCCGCAAUGGACGAAAGUCUGACGGAGCAACGCCGCGUGAGUGAUGAAGGUUUUCGGAUCGUAAAACUCUGUUGUCAGGGAAGAACAAGUGCCGUUCAAAUAGGGCGGCACCUUGACGGUACCUGACCAGAAAGCCCCGGCUAACUACGUGCCAGCAGCCGCGGUAAUACGUAGGGGGCAAGCGUUGUCCGGAAUUAUUGGGCGUAAAGCGCGCGCAGGCGGUCCUUUAAGUCUGAUGUGAAA